rnacentral:rRNA from 1 species
GAUGAACGCUGGCGGCGUGCCUAACACAUGCAAGUCGAACGUGAAGCCUUGAAUGAUUACUUCGGUUUGAUUUUAGGGUGGAAAGUGGCGAACGGGUGAGUAACACGUAGGUGACCUGCCUCGAAGUGGGGGACAACCAUUGGAAACGAUGGCUAAUACCGCAUGGUCCUGUGGACAUGAGAAUGUCCAUGGGUAAAGCUCAGGCGCUUUGAGAGGGGCCUGCGUCCGAUUAGCUAGUUGGUGAGGUAACGGCUCACCAAGGCGACGAUCGGUAGCUGGUCUGAGAGGACGAUCAGUCACACGGGAACUGAGACACGGUCCCGACUCCUACGGGGGGCAGCAGUGAGGAAUAUUGCACAAUGGGGGCAACCCUGAUGCAGCAACGCCGCGUGGAGGAUGAAGGCUUUUGAGUCGUAAACUCCUUUUUUGGGGGAAGAGUAAGGACGGUACCCCAAGAAUAAGUCACGGCUAACUACGUG